CCUACGGGUGGCAGCAGUGAGGAAUAUUGGUCAAUGGGCGCGAGCCUGAACCAGCCAAGUCGCGUGAGGGAAGACGGCCCUACGGGUUGUAAACCUCUUUUGCCGGGGAGCAACGGGCGCCACGUGUGGCGCCACUGAGAGUACCCGGAGAAAAAGCAUCGGCUAACUCCGUGCCAGCAGCCGCGGUAAUACGGAGGAUGCGAGCGUUAUACGGAUUUAUUGGGUUUAAAGGGUGCGUAGGCGGAGCGUUAAGUCAGUGGGCAAAUGGAGGGGCUAAACCCCUUCCCGCCAUUGAAACUGGCGCUCUUGAGUGGAAGAGAAGUAUGCGGAAUGCGUGGUGUAGCGGUGAAAUGCAUAGAGAUCACGCAGAACCCCGAUUGCGAAGGCAGCAUGCCGGCUUCCUACUGACGCUGAAGCACGAAAGCGUGGGGAUCGAACAGGAUUAGAUACCCCAGUAGUC
rnacentral:rRNA from 1 species